CCAAACGGCAAACGCCACCAAAAUGAAAUCUUAAUCCACCAACCCACUAAAUUGCUAAAAUCACAAACUUUCACUCCUUUUGAACAUCACCCAAACUAGGGCUCCAAACGAAUUGAAAGAACACGAAUAAAACCUUGUUCGUGUUCGUUUGUUAAGAAAUUUUUGUGUUAACGAACAGUUCAUGAACACUUAUCGAACGAGAUUUUAUGUUCGUGUUCGUUUGUUAAGGAAAUGAACUUAAUCGUGUUCGUUUGAGUUUGUUAAUUUUAGGCAAUGAACGAAAUCGAACGUAAAUGAAUACAAAUGAGCACAUGCUAACGUUCAUAGUCUCAUAGACACAAAUGGAAACAAACAAACACAAACAACCGUUCAUGAACAAAAAUAUAUAAUACAUUAACAGUUAUUAAAUAUUAUUUGUCAGAAAUUUUGAAGUAUAUAAAUAAAAUAUAAAAAUGAAAAACUCUAAUGAACUAUUGAACACAAACGUACAUGUUAUCGAACGUUCACGAACAUAAAUGAACGAACAUGGCCUCUGUUCAUGUUCGUUCAUUUAACUAAACAAACGAAAUUUCUUGUUCGUGUUUGUUUGUUUAAUAAAUGAACGGACACAAACGAACUUCCCGCCGAAGAGUUGACGAACUGUUUGCCGAACAUUUGGUUCGUUUACAGCCCUAUCCAAAACCAAAUAAAGUCGGCCAGUUUAGAAGGUUUAAAAUAUAUACGACCUGGAUUACUUUUGAGUUUUAACGAUUUGCAAGUUGGAACUGGCCGUUUCACAUUUGUUAUAUUUUUUUCAUUUUUGGAAUAUAAAAUCAUGUGUAUACUCAUUACAUUUGUAAAUAAUCCUUAUAGUUCAGUGCAGUUUCUUGUGGUGGUUUUAUCAACUGGUGGUUACCUCUACCUCUUCGUGCCCAUGUUCACGGCGGUUUCAGUCAGAGGUUAUGCUCUCUCUCAUAGAAUCUUAUGGUUACCUUAUAUUAAGGAUAGUUUUUGCAUUAUCAAAACCACCGUACCCAUGUAUGCAAUCCACAACCACCUCCUGUGAACCCUUAUAUAAACACAUAAAUUGUGAAAUUGGAGAGUAUCCCCAUCCUUCUCUACUUUCGGCUGCACUCUAGGUACAAGUACAGAAGGAAGAUCAAUGGAACUUGAUCGUCGCUGCCUCCUCCACAUGAGGGUUUCUACAAAUGCAUCAGUUUUGUAUUAGUUUAGCCAAGCAGAACAGAGCAAACACUAUGGUAGAUUGCAAUGACAUUGAUGACCAGAUGGAUUCAGAGGUUGGCAAGUAGGAGGAGAUGGAUGAAAAGUUGAUUAUGAUGACGAUGAUGGUGAAAAAUCGUGAAUUGUGAACCUUUUGGGGAUAUUGUUGAGGUAAGGUUGGUGAGAUAUAUGGAGACCAAUGAAGGUAAGGGUUUUGCACUUAUGGCAUUUAGAAGUAAAAAUGUUGCUUAAAAGGCCAUUGAAGAGCUACAUAACAAAGAUUUUAAGGUAUAAAGCUACAAACUUGUGCUCAUCUGUUAGGCAUUUUUUGGUUCUGGUACUCGGUUUUAUGAUGUUCUUUGCAGGGUACGAGCUUCAGGUAUUCACACUUUGAAUAUAUAUAUAUAUAUAGACUAUUCAUAGGUAAUGUGCCAAAGACUUAGACUGAUGAUGAGUUCAGAAUAGUAAUUGAGGAAAUAGGCCUAGGUUCAGAAGUGUCAUUGAGAUCUUAUAAAGGAUACUCAAGACCCGUCUCAUAACCGUGGGUUUGCUUUUGUUGAGUAUUACAAGAAUGCAUGUGCGGACUGUUCAAGACAGAAACUAGCUACCCCAAAUUUUAAACUUUAUGGAAACACCCCAACGGUUACUUGGGCUGAUCCUAAAAUCACCCCUGAUCAUUCUGCUGCUGCUGCUGCUGCACAGGUUGACAUUUUCCUCUCUAAAAUUGGGAAUAUCUUAGUUUUCAGUGGCAUUUGGUCAGCUUAUAAUCAGGGACUAAAACUAAAGCAUAGGAUGGCGUAAAAGCUACUUUAGCUCCAAAGGUCAUAGGUUCAAGCUGUGGGAAACAACCUCCUGCAUAAAGUAUAGGGUAAGGUUGCGUACAUCAUAUCGCGAAGCGAUCCGACCACACUCCCUGGACCUGUGCAAUUGCGGAAGUUAAGUCAAGCACCGGGUACGACCUUUACCACAACAAGGUUUUUUAAUUAUUAGUUUUGUCAAGCACCGGGCAUGCCCUUUACUACAAGGUUUUUUUUAAUUAUUAGUUUUGUUUGAAGCUCCACUAAUGAAUUGUUUGCCAAUAUCAUAUUAAAAGGCUCUUCUGAAUUAAAAAGGAAUUUUGUGGUUGAUUAUUUGUUGAUGAAAAGAAUGAUAAAUUUAGCAAGCUCCAGCUCAAAGUUAUAGGGUUUACCGUGGUGAUCAUGUUCAGAGGAGUGAAGACGAUGAGUUAACCUUCACGAAAGGGUCACUGAUCAUACCAUGUGGCCACCAUAAAUGCACCUCUAUACAUCUCUUGAGGGGAGCAUUUUUUUUUAGAUUUUUAUUUGUAAAAAAAGUUGUCUUUGUCCAUUACUAUUGGAAGUUCUUGGUGAAUAAGUUUUUGAUUUUUUUUGCAAGUAUGUUAAUGUGCUUUCUUCACAUUUUGGUUUUAUCUUAAUAUUCUUUUCUCUGUAA